rnacentral:rRNA from 1 species
AUUGAACGCUGGCGGCAGGCCUAACACAUGCAAGUCGGACGGUAGCACAGAGGAGCUUGCUCCUCGGGUGACGAGUGGCGGACGGGUGAGUAAUGUCUGGGGAUCUGCCCGAUAGAGGGGGACAACCACUGGAAACGGUGGCUAAUACCGCAUAACGUCGCAAGACCAAAGAGGGGGACCUUCGGGCCUCUCACUAUCGGAUGAACCCAGAUGGGAUUAGCUAGUAGGCGGGGUAACGGCCCACCUAGGCGACGAUCCCUAGCUGGUCUGAGAGGAUGACCAGCAACACUGGAACUGAGACACGGUCCAGACUCCUACGGGAGGCAGCAGUGGGGAAUAUUGCACAAUGGGCGCAAGCCUGAUGCAGCCAUGCCGCGUGUAUGAAGAAGGCCUUCGGGUUGUAAAGUACUUUCAGCGGGGAGGAAGGCGAUGUGGUUAAUAACCGCAUUGAUUGACGUUACCCGCAGAAGAAGCACCGGCUAACUCCGUGCCAGCAGCCGCAGUAA